AGACACAGCCAUAUCACCCUGCAGCCCAAGACCGGUCACUCACUGAAGCUAAACAGGGCUGAGCCUGGUCAGUACGUUGGAAGUGGUGUAGGUGAGGCCAUUAGAAGGCGCUAAACCUGUGGUCUGUGUGAG
rnacentral:rRNA from 1 species